rnacentral:rRNA from 1 species
GCAUAUCAUAAGCGGAGGAAAAGAAACCAAACAGGGAUUACCUCAGUAACGGCGUAAGUGAAGCGGUAACAGCUCAAAUUUGAAAGCUGGCUUCUUUCAGGGUCCCGCGUUGUAAUUUGUAGAAGAUGCUUCGGGUGUGGCCCCGGUCUAAGUUCCUUGGAACAGGACGUCAUAGAGGGUGAGAAUCCCGUAUGUGACUGGGCGCCUCCGCCCAUGUGAAGCUCUUUCGACGAGUCGAGUUGUUUGGGAAUGCAGCUCAAAAUGGGUGGUAAAUUUCAUCUAAAGCUAAAUAUUGGCCAGAGACCGAUAGCGCACAAGUAGAGUGAUCGAAAGAUGAAAAGCACUUUGGAAAGAGAGUUAAACAGUACGUGAAAUUGUUGAAAGGGAAGCGCUUGCAACCAGACUUGCGCGUAGGUGAUCAUCCGGGCUUCUGCCCGGUGCACUCGCCUGCGCUCAGGCCAGCAUCGGUUUCGGUGGCGGGAUAAAGGCCUUGGGAACGUAGCUCCUCUCGGGGAGUGUUAUAGCCCUCGGUGCAAUGCCGCCUACCGGGACCGAGGACCGCGCUUCGGCUAGGAUGCUGGCGUAAUGGUUGUAAGCGACCCGUCUUGAAACACGGACCAAGGAGUCUAACAUCUAUGCGAGUGUUUGGGUGUCAAACCCAUACGCGUAAUGAAAGUGAACGGAGGUGAGAACCCUGAAGGGUGCAUCAUCGACCGAUCCUGAUGUCUUCGGAUGGAUUUGAGUAAGAGCAUAGCUGUUGGGACCCGAAAGAUGGUGAACUAUGCGUGAAUAGGGUGAAGCCAGAGGAAAACUCUGGUGGAGGCUCGCAGCGGUUUCUGACGUGCAAAUCGAUCGUCAAAAUUUGCGUAAUAAGGGGCGAAAGACUAAUCGAACCAUCUAGUAGCUGGUUUCCUGCCGA